GUGUUUCUAUCACAGAGUGAUGAACACAUCUCUUGGAACUGCUACUGUAUGAAAGCUGUAUCCUAGAGGUAGAACAUAUGUUAUGGAAUAUGGCUGCUGCAUUGCUCCUGGGUGCCAUCGGACAGGUCAUGAGAAGCAGACAAGUGAGUGACCUUCUGAGCACCUAUUGCCUGUUGCGAUGGUCAGGAAUGGAGAUGCCAGUUCCAGCACCUCAGAAGUUAAGGAAAAACAACAAGAAAACAAACAGAAAACCAAAGCUAAAAACAGCUAUAGGAAUUUGACUCUGAGAGAAAUCUAAAGAAACUUGUGGUUUGUCUGGGAUUUUACAUUUUAAUAAUCUAUAAAUUUAUUCUGUGACACAUUUUUGAAGGUCAUUUUUGAAUCCUGUUAUACUUGUACUCUAUUGCUGUAUCAGCUUUUUCUUCUCUGAGAUGUCAUCUGCCCUAUUCUCUUUGUGCCUUAAAUGUUCAGAUUUGUCCCCAAAGUCUAAGUUAUGGGAACUGGCUAUGAAGUUCAAUGAUAAAAUAAAGCAAUUCUUGGUGAGCUUUUUGAUUACAAUUUUAAAAACUGUUUACAUCUAUUUUUUUAAUUAAGCUAAACAAGUUAAGUGUAAUACGGUCACUUAGAUCUUCACAGAUAUUGUAACUACUGUAUUUGUAGUGUGCAAGAUCAAAUAACCAAUAGAGGAUUUUUUGCAUUUUAAUAUACCCUCCUGAAUACCAAGAGCAUUGUUUUAUAUCUUUCUACAACUGUGGAAGAAGGAAGACACAUUAAUCUUAUUUUGGCUAUCUAAGUUUGGGUAUACAUAACAUGUAAAAUGAUACUGCCAAGUGGUAGUUUCUUCCUAAAGCUGAUAAAGCAGCUGGAAUAAUUCAAUAUUUAUUAUAUAAUUGACAGAGAACCAAGAAGUUGAAUCUGCUAAGAAUUCCUAAAACAUUGUGCCAGCCUUUAUGUGUGUAUGGCAGUUAAUCAAUGUAAUAUAAACAUAUAAACAAAUAUAAUUCAUAUGUGUAUGCAACAUAACCACAUACUUUAUUAAAUAAUCUCACAAAUAUACACACUUAAAAUAAAUAAAUGUCUAAAACUUUUGCAACUGAACCUUUUCUAUCAAAAAUAUAAUUCUGAAGGGUCUGAACAUCAAUAUACAUCACAGCUCAAUUCUUUCUAGUAAGCUGAAGUUUUUACUUCUCUUUUAGAUUGCUUUUGUCCCACUAAAGUGAAUUGGAGCUGUGGGUUAUUUUGUGUGCUGAUGUGUAUGAGGGUUAUGUGUUAGAAAUAUGGUAUCUCGAUUUCUUAUUCAUCUCCUCUACAAAUCUUCAGUCUGUGAAGUUCUUAUGAAACAUUUAGGUUGUAACCUAAAAAAUUAGAUUAUUAAUAUCCAUCUGACAUCUUAACAUGAAUAAGUCAAAUAUCGAAAGUAGCAAAUUUAAAAAUCUCUGUUUUAUCUUUGGUCAGAAAGAUAUGAAAAAUAGGGACUGUCAAUAGUGGCAUUGAGUUAAUGAGUAAAGUCAGAGAAAAAUACUGUAGAACUGGAGGCAGGAGCUGUAUGCAUCCUUCAGGUCCUGGACUUCCCUAAUGGUUACAAUUGCAUACAAUUUUUAGGAAUACAUUAAACAAAGGUAAAAGUAGAAAAGACUGUUCCUUACAUAAGGGCUUCACUGGGUGCUGGACUGCAGUAUGGUCCAACACUUCACGGCCACUGCACUGCCACAGCUCUCCCCACCUGUGGGAACCCCCAUCAAUGCUGGUCAGCAAGGUAGCCAUCUAACAAACAUGCUGAGUCUCAGAGAUGAAAAGUGGACAUCACAUGGAGGUGAGAUGGGAGACAAAUAUAUUUAUAGAUAAAAUAUCCCAUUCUGAUGAGCUGUUCCGCUUUUUCCUCAGGGUAAACUUUUUUUAGUUUUACUACCAUAGUUUUCAAAGAUAAUAAUUACAGUUUUCUUCCUCUCCUAUGCUCCCAUUUUCAUAUCACCAAGAAAUAUAAGUGGUGUUUUCUUACUUGUCCUUUUAACUGUGCUGAAAUUCUCAUUUGUUCAUAUUUCUCUUUUUUUUUUGCCUUUUACUGAGAGAAAAAAAACAAAACAAAAACUGUUUCUUACCUUCAGCCUUAUAACUUUUGACUUACUUAAUAGAAUAAAAAAGUCUUUUUGGAAGACCAAAUAUAUUUCUACUUUCCUUUUCCAGUGUUUUGUCAGCAUGCUCAGGAGUGCUGUGGUACAUAAAGCUCCAAUUCAUCAGAUCACUUAAUCUCAGGUUUAAAUCAUUUUGAAACACACAAUUAGGUGGAAAUUCUACUGAAUCAGUUCUUCAAGAUGUGAUUUCCUUUGAUGAAAGUGAUGUGUGUUAUAAUAAAAUGAAGGGACCAUCAAACUGGUUCAAAAUUGUUCAUUUAAUUUCUGUGGUGU